rnacentral:rRNA from 1 species
CCUACGGGUGGCUGCAGUGGGGAAUAUUGGACAAUGGGGGCAACCCUGAUCCAGCCAUGCCGCGUGUGUGAAGAAGGCCCUCGGGUUGUAAAGCACUUUCAGUGAGGAAGAACGCCUGGUGGUUAAUACCCAUCAGGAAAGACAUCACUCACAGAAGACGCACCGGCUAACUCCGUGCCAGCAGCCGCGGUAAUACGGAGGGUGCGAGCGUUAAUCGGAAUUGCUGGGCGUAAAGCGCGCGUAGGUGGCUUGAUAAGCCGGUUGUGAAAGCCCCGGGCUCAACCUGGGAACGGCAUCCGGAACUGUCAAGCUAGAGUGCAGGAGAGGAAAGUAGAAUUCCCGGUGUAGCGGUGAAAUGCGUAGAGAUCGGGAGGAAUACCAGUGGCGAAGGCGGCCUUCUGGACUGACACUGACACUGAGGUGCGAAAGCGUGGGUAGCAAACAGGAUUAGAUACCCUAGUAGUC